CGGCGUAAAGAGUGGUUAUGGAAUUCUAAAACUAAAGCCGAAAGCCCCUCUAACUGUUAUACGCACUCAGGGGCCAGAACCACACUACACGAAAGUAGCUUUAUUAAUGCCAACCAGAACCCACGACAGCUGGGGCACAAACUGGGAUUAGAUACCCCACUAUGCCCAGCCAUAAACCUUGAUGCUUCUAUACAACUAGCAUCCGCCAGGGAACUACGAGCACCAGCUUAAAACCCAAAGGACUUGGCGGUGCCCCAGACCCCCCUAGAGGAGCCUGUUCUAGAACCGAUAAUCCCCGUUUAACCUCACCACCUCUUGCCCCUUCCGCCUAUAUACCACCGUCGCCAGCUUACCCUGUGAAGGGAAAAAAGUAAGCAAAAUGGAAACCUUCCAAAACGUCAGGUCGAGGUGUAGCACACGAAGUGGGAAGAAAUGGGCUACAUUGCCUGCCACAGGCUAUCAACAGAAAGUCACCUGAAACGGUUGCUCGAAGGUGGAUUUAGCAGUAAAAAGGGAAUAGAGAGCCCUUUUGAAGCCGGCUCUGAGGCGCGCACACACCGCCCGUCACUCUCCCCAAAUCCCUAUCACCAAAGUAAAUAACACCACAAAAUACAACAAGGGGAGGCAAGUCGUAACAUGGUAAGUGUACC
rnacentral:rRNA from 1 species